UGUUUCAGAACUCUCUCUGAAAAAUCUCUCUCAAGAGAUUGGCUUGAAGAUCUCUAUCUUCUGGAGGCCUUGAACAGAUUUCUUUGAAUCACAAACCAAUUAUUCCAGAAUUCUGGAACCAAACACUAGCCCAAACCAAAAUCAAAAAACCGAUCAGAUCUCCGGAUCACCAACAAGGAAACGAUCAUCACCAACACCAACAAACAUGGAUUAUCUACAAAAACAAAUCAGUCUCGCACUUCGCAGCCAUGUCAAGUUUGGAGGAGCCACUUGGUUUUGACAAGCUGCCAAGAAUGACCAUCGAUAGAAUCCAGAGAUUUUCAUCUGGUGCUUGUCGGCCCAGGGCUGAUGAUUUGGGCAUGGGAGUCUGCUGGAUUGAGGGAAGGGAUUGCUUCACUUCAAACAAUUGCAAAUAAGUGGGUUUUAUCAUUCGUGGUGUUCGAGAGUGAGCUCGCAUUAUUCAGUGCUAUAUCAGUGAAGAUGUUAUCAAAUUGUUUCUUUGCAAGUUGAAGGCGUCCUCCUUUCUUUACAAUA